rnacentral:misc_RNA from 1 species
GAUGAAGAACGCAGCGAAAUGCGAUAAGUAGUGUGAAUUGCAGAAUUCAGUGAAUCAUCGAAUCUUUGAACGCACAUUGCGCCCCUUGGUAUUCCAUGGGGCAUGCCUGUUCGAGCGUCAUUUGUACCUUCAAGCUUUGCUUGGUGUUGGGUGUUUGUCUCGCCUUUGCGUGUAGACUCGCCUUAAAAUAAUUGGCAGCCGGCGUAUUGAUUUCGGAGCGCAGUACAUCUCGCGCUUUGCACUCAUAACGACAGCGUCCAAACGUACAUUUUACACUCUUGACCUCGGAUCAGGUAGGGAUACCCGCUGAACUUAAGCAUAUCAAUAAGCGGAGGA